GCAUCCUUUGCUGAAGGCAAUGGUUAACGGAGCGAAAGCGACGUUCAACCGCAAAACAAGCAGAGGGGGCUUAGUGGUGGGGUGACUGCGUACCUUUUGUAUAAUGGGUCAGCGACUUAUAUUCUGUAGCAAGGUUAACCGUAUAGGGGAGCCGGAGGGAAACCGAGUCUUAAUUGGGCGUUAAGUUGCAGGGUAUAGACCCGAAACCCGGUGAUCUAGCCAUGGGCAGGUUGAAGGUUGGGUAACACUAACUGGAGGACCGAACCGACUAAUGUUGAAAAAUUAGCGGAUGACCUGUGGCUGGGGGUGAAAGGCCAAUCAAACCGGGAGAUAGCUGGUUCUCCCCGAAAGCUAUUUAGGUAGCGCCUCGUGAAUUCAUCUCCGGGGGUAGAGCACUGUUUCGGCUAGGGGGCCAUCCCGGCUUACCAACCCGAUGCAAACUGCGAAUACCGGAGAAUGUUAUCACGGGAGACACACGGCGGGUGCUAACGUCCGUCGUGAAGAGGGAAACAACCCAGACCGCCAGCUAAGGUCCCAAAGUCAUGGUUAAGUGGGAAACGAUGUGGGAAGGCCCAGACAGCCAGGAUGUUGGCUUAGAAGCAGCCAUCAUUUAAAGAAAGCGUAAUAGCUCACUGGUCGAGUCGGCCUGCGCGGAAGAUGUAACGGGGCUAAACCAUGCACCGAAGCUGCGGCAGCGAACGUAUCACUUAAAGCGAUUCAGCGGGUUACGAUUGACGGAGCGAAGCGACGUCAAAGCGUAUACAAAGUCGAGUCGGUUUAAGGAUACGUUCGUUGGGUAGGGGAGCGUUCUGUAAGCCUGCGAAGGUGGCCUGUGAGGGUUGCUGGAGGUAUCAGAAGUGCGAAUGCUGACAUAAGUAACGAUAAAGCGGGUGAAAAGCCCGCUCGCCGGAAGACCAAGGGUUCCUGUCCAACGUUAAUCGGGGCAGGGUGAGUCGACCCCUAAGGCGAGGCCGAAAGGCGUAGUCGAUGGGAAACGGGUUAAUAUUCCCGUACUUGGUGUUACUGCGAAGGGGGGACGGAGAAGGCUAUGUUGGCCGGGCGACGGUUGUCCCGGUUUAAGCGUGUAGGCUGGUUUUCCAGGCAAAUCCGGAAAAUCAAGGCUGAGGCGUGACGACGAGGCACUACGGUGCUGAAGCAACAAAUGCCCUGCUUCCAGGAAAAGCCUCUAAGCAUCAGGUAACACGAAAUCGUACCCCAAACCGACACAGGUGGUCAGGUAGAGAAUACCAAGGCGCUUGAGAGAACUCGGGUGAAGGAACUAGGCAAAAUGGUGCCGUAACUUCGGGAGAA
rnacentral:rRNA from 1 species